AACCAAGCGUGAUUAAUCAUAUCGAGCAAACUAAUGCACUGCUUGUGUUGCUGAAUAGUUGAUGUUUGAUUGCCGUCAUUAUUAAUAGUCUGCUAUCAAAUUGAGCAACACGAGUAGUAAUCUAAGUAAUCAGUUUAAAAAAAUGUAAAAACAAGUGGUCAAUAAUAGUUGUAUAAUAGGUUACCAGCAACCUGACGGCAACCUGAUAAUAACUAAUGAUAUGCCAUUGCGCCAAUAGCAUUUUAAUGGCAACAUGACAGCAACAUCAAAUAUAUAAUGUUUUCCUUUAUUUGGGUGUUCCAUAUCCUGAAUUGUUGGAGUUUUGGAAUGAAUUCUCGUUGUCAACAACGUGAGAACAACGUGUAAUUAAUAAAUGUUUGCGACAAUUUGCCAACAACAAGACAGAAUUCAAUCGCAAUAAUAUGAUAUUGUGUGUAUUGCCCGCCAAAACUGGGCGCUUUGCGUCUAUCACGCCCAACCAACAAAUUAACAGUCGAGAUUCAGCGGAAAAUCUACAACUGUUGAGUCUGCUGAACGCGGCCAUUGCGCCAUUGGCUAUACUCCUACUUUUCCUUAUCCCGCUGAGGGCGUGUAGGAACGAAUUAUUGGAGACUAGUGUACAUACAAGACAUACGUGGAAGUGCUCAUCAGUGCUUAAGUGCUCUCAUUUUGUGAAAGGAUCAUUUUGAUACAGAAAAUUAAGUAUACCGUAGAGGUGAUUAAUUCCGGCCGGAUGAAAUUGAAGUGAUAAUUGGUUAACAAUACACAAAAUUUAACGAAAAUAACGAAAAUAGG